rnacentral:rRNA from 1 species
UACGUAGGGUGCAAGCGUUAAUCGGAAUUACUGGGCGUAAAGGGCACGUAGGCGGCUCGGCAAAUCGGUCGUGGAAUCCCGACGCUUACCGUCGGAACGGCGGCCGAAAAUACCGGGCUCGAGGGCGUGAGGGGUCACUGGAACUCCUGGUGAAGCGGUGAAAUGCGUAGAUAUCAGGAGGAACGCCGGAGGCGAAAGCGAGUGACUGGCGCGUUCCUGACGCUGAGGUGCGAAAGCUAGGGGAGCAAACAGG